rnacentral:rRNA from 1 species
GACGAACGCUGGCGGCGUGCCUAAUACAUGCAAGUCGAACGCUGCUUAAGAAGAAACUUCGGCUUUUUCUUAAGCGGAGUGGCGGACGGGUGAGUAACACGUGGGGAACCUAUCCAUCAGCGGGGGUUAACACUUGGAAACAGGUGCUAAUACCGCAUACGGCUUUUUUUCACCUGAAAGAAAGCUCAAAGGCGCUUUACAGCGUCACUGAUGGCUGGCCCCGCGGUGCAUUAGCCAGUUGGUGAGGUAACGGCUCACCAAAGCAACGAUGCAUAGCCGACCUGAGAGGGUGAUCGGCCACACUGGGACUGAGACACGGCCCAGACUCCUACGGGAGGCAGCAGUAGGGAAUCUUCGGCAAUGGACGCAAGUCUGACCGAGCAACGCCGCGUGAGUGAAGAAGGUUUUCGGAUCGUAAAGCUCUGUUGUCAGCAAAGAACAGGAGAAAGAGGAAAUGCUUUUUCUAUGACGGUAGCUGACCAGAAAGCCACGGCUAACUACGUGCCAGCAGCCGCGGUAAUACGUAGGUGGCAAGCGUUGUCCGGAUUUAUUGGGCGUAAAGCGAGCGCAGGCGGUGAUUUAAGUCUGAUGUGAAAGCCCCCAGCUCAACUGGGGAGGGUCAUUGGAAACUGGAUCACUUGAGUGCAGAAGAGGAGAGUGGAAUUCCAUGUGUAGCGGUGAAAUGCGUAGAUAUAUGGAGGAACACCAGUGGCGAAGGCGGCUCUCUGGUCUGUAACUGACGCUGAGGCUCGAAAGCGUGGGUAGCAAACAGGAUUAGAUACCCUGGUAGUCCACGCCGUAAACGAUGAGUGCUAAGUGUUGGAGGGUUUCCGCCCUUCAGUGCUGCAGUUAACGCAUUAAGCACUCCGCCUGGGGAGUACGACCGCAAGGUUGAAACUCAAAGGAAUUGACGGGGGCCCGCACAAG